GACGAACCGUGCGAACGUUAUUCGGAAUCACUGGGCUUAAAGCGCGUGUAGGCGGGUCGGCGCGUCGGACGCUGAAAUCCCCCGGCUCAACCGGGGAAGUGGCGCCGAUACGGCCGGCCUGGAGGGACGUAGGGGGGGCUGGAACUUCCGGUGGAGCGGUGAAAUGCGUUGAGAUCGGAAGGAACGCCCGUGGCGAAAGCGAGCCCCUGGACGUCUACUGACGCUGAGACGCGAAAGCGUGGGGAGCAAACAGG
rnacentral:rRNA from 1 species